GGGGAUUUAGCUCAGUUGGCAGAGCGUUCGCUUAGCAUCAUGAGAUUCUUCUGCGAAAGGUCGCGUGUUCGACUCAUGCAGUCUCCA
rnacentral:tRNA from 1 species